UAAAGGCGGACCCCGGGCAGCGCACCUUCUGUUUCAUUUAGCUUAUUUGUCUCUCUUCAGGGUAACGUGCCUCACAAUCUUAACGCUAUUUGACCUCCGCUGUACCAAAUACUCGUCUUCUUACACCCAGAAAAAAAGAGAUGCCUGUCCACAACACCCUCCAUGCAGAAUUACCUCUGGUAGAAGCACUACCUGACUCAGGCUCAGCUGGUCCAGUUUCUACUGUCCAUCAUACACACCCUGAGUGCAGUCAUCGUCCCCUGUUGUUUUCCCAUCAGACGCCUGCUCAUCCAGGUCUCCUACAUGGCCACCCUCGUCAUCCUCUUUGUCAACGUCUACAUUCAGACCUACAGAAAAAGACGGCACAGAAAAGACGAUAAGCUUACUUUUGAGCAGAGCCACAUCAAGUCCAGUCAUCCAAAUGGCCACUCCGCCUCGACCAAUGGCACCAGCCUCAAGAAAAGGCAGUAGUCAUCAGACCCGGAUGGCAAGAUCACGACUCCAACCACUACUAGAAUCAAUUUAUGCAGUGACACUACUAUAUCGCUCCAACUCGGCAUUUUUGUAUAGAAUAUUUUGUACUUCAUUUUUGUAUCAAAUACUUGUUUUGGUUUCCUUGAAGCUUGACACUGAAUUUGUAACAGUACUGUACACAAUGCUAAUUUCCAUUGCACUUCCACGUGUUCAAAUAUAAGUGUGAAAGCUCCCUCAAUUCCAAUAUUGUCAUAGUGUUAUCUUGAGCUCAAUCAGCAAUUUCCACAAUACUUUGUAUAGGCAACCUCGCACUUUAAUCAAUUUAAUAUUUAUUCUAAAGUAAAUUGAAAUUAAACAACUUGAUAUCCACACCUUAUUGGAUUUGCAGAACCAAUUUGAUUUAAGUUUACAUAAAAACACUUAACAGAACGGCAUGGACAAAAUUGCCACCCCCGAGCUAAAACACGGUU